AACGACUCUCGGCAACGGAUAUCUCGGCUCUCGCAUCGAUGAAGAAUGUAGCGAAAUGCGAUACUUGGUGUGAAUUGCAGAAUCCCGUGAACCAUCGAGUCUUUGAACGCAAGUUGCGCCCAAAGCCUUCCGGCCGAGGGCACGUCUGCCUGGGCGUCACGC
rnacentral:rRNA from 1 species